AAGAGAAGUAAAGGAGGAACAGAAAUGAGCAUCACAAAGUCUGUUAUUGAUGAUUAGGAUAGUUUCUUGUGCCUGCUGACAGGAUUUAGUGGCAAACAAAGUGUCAAUCACUACUGUGGCUCUGUACUGCAUUAUGUCCUCUGGAAAAUAAGUUCUGGAACAGAAAAACUUCCUUGGUCCUCGGUCAAUGACUAAAGCUAGUGAGCUUACCUAUUGAUGAGCAAUGAGUUAAGAAAUGUGCUAUAGGGGUACAUACUUUUAUGGAAGAUGAAGAACUACUUCUGCCUCAUCUGCAAAUGAUGUCUCUAACAGCCAUGGCCUUUGUAGCAUUCUUAUUACUAUCAUUAUAUUAUUAUACAAUUUUAGUCAAUUUUGCAUUAUUAAACAUACUGUUUUGAUCUGAUAGCAAAAUGC
rnacentral:lncRNA from 1 species